AUGGCCAAGGAGGCAAGGACCCUCCCAAAAGCUAAGAGCAUCUCCAGCCGCGCCCCCAGAAAGGCCUUCUCAGACGAUUUUUUCGCGCCGACGCCGAAAAAAUGGCCCAGUUGCAUCCCGAGGAGCCGGACCCAGGCCGAAUCCGGUGCGCCCAGGGACGCCGGGGCGAGUUGUUUUGGCGCGAAGCAGCCGCGGGCCUGCCGAGUCAGCGAGACCGGCGCUUCGUCGCCCUCAUCGCCUUGGUUCCUGCGGGAAUCAAUGCCAAGGCUGCUGCCGCCGGUCAGCCUUGCCAUUGAUUCGUCAUGGGGUGGUGCGGCGACCCCUCUCCUCCCGUGCAUGCAUACACACGGGCGUGACUAUAUAAAGCCGGUGGCCUCCGUCGCCUCUGGCCACACCAGCCCUAGCCGCCGAGCUCUCCUUCACCCGUGCGCCGCCGCCGAGCCCUCCCUCUCCCAUGUGCCGCCUUCGAGCCCUUCGAGCACUACGACAGCCCCGGCGAUGGCCGAACGUUUCCUCGGCGACGAGGCGGCGGCCAACGGCUUCGGCCGUUGCUCGCUCCGCGAACAGGAGUUGUGGCUCCUGUUCGAGGCCAACAUCCCAGUGCCGCCAUCAGUCCGCCAUGGCGACGCCGGGCAGGGGUGCACCAGGGACGGCCGCGUCAAGGAGGAGAAGGACGACGAUGAUGAUGGCGACGACAGUGACUACUCCGCGUUCAGUAAGUUAUUUUUUAGAUAUAUUUGCUAUAUAUAA
rnacentral:rRNA from 1 species